GAUGAACGCUAGCUACAGGCUUAACACAUGCAAGUCGAGGGGGAAACGAUAGAGAAAGCUUGCUUUUUCUAGGCGUCGACCGGCGCACGGGUGAGUAACGCGUAUCCAACCUGCCCAUCACUUGGGGAUAACCUUGCGAAAGUAAGACUAAUACCCAAUGAUAUCUCUAGAAGACAUCUGAAGGAGAUUAAAGAUUUAUCGGUGAUGGAUGGGGAUGCGUCUGAUUAGCUUGUUGGCGGGGUAACGGCCCACCAAGGCGACGAUCAGUAGGGGUUCUGAGAGGAAGGCCCCCCCANAUUGGAACUGAGACA
rnacentral:rRNA from 1 species